UAAUAAAAUAUAAAUGAUAAUGAUGUGAGAGUCCUCGUGAUAGUGGCCAUAGACGGUGUGUUAUUUGUUGGGUGACUUAUUGGUUAUGGUGGAAGCGUGGAAAUGAUCUCACUUCCCAUCGUCAUACAGGCAAUGAUCAAAUAAACCAACUAACAAGCAAUUAUAUGAAAACCGUGAGCAGGUACAAAAAGGGACUCAGCGACAAGGUUAAUCUCCAUUUUAGAUGCAUUUCGGUGCGAGCAUAUGCUGCCGAACCUGAGAGAACAAUACAAGAAGACCGGUUAUGGAAAGAAACAAAAGCCACACCAUUAACAAACCUGCAUUCCCUCUUACAAUUUUGUGCAAGAAAUCGAGAACCCAUGAAAGAAAUGUGGCCUGAUUAACUUCGCUCGGAAAGUGUUUGAUAAAAUGCCUCGAAGCAGCUUGGUUUCAUGGAAUACAAUGAUUGCUACUUAUGCACAAAAUAUGGACGAGCCAAUGAUGAAUGGAAGCCAAUGCCAGCAAUAAUCUGAUGGUUGUCAUCUUUUCUACCGGAGAAAAUGUAUCAAAAUAAUCCACGCCUUCAAUUUAAGUGUACCCUUUAGUCACAAGUCUGGCUCUAUACCUCUCUAUAGGACCAUCAAAUUUGUAUUUUAUUUUAUACACCCAUUUGCAGCCUAUAGGAACUUUGUUGGGUGGUAAAUCAACAAGUGUCCAAGUUUGAUUUUGCUCCAGAGCAGCAAUUUCAUUGGCUAUAGCUUCUCCCCAAGAUUCAUAUUUAACAGCUUGAUGAUAUGUUUUAGACUUAGUGGUAGUAGAAAUGGACAAAGUGAAAUGACUUUGGAAUGGAGAUAAGUGAGAAUAUGAGAUGACAGAAGAAAGAGGAUAAAGAGUACCUUUAGAAGUCUAAUUGGUAUCUAUUGAAGUGAAGAGAUUGCAAUGAUAAUCUUGUACGUAAAUUGGUGACCUUCUCUAUCUUGUGGAAAUUCUAUGAUCUGACGGAAUAAAA